GGAUCUAUCGAUCUCUUUCGAAUGGUUAAAAGAACCAAGAGGAAUUAUGAAGCUGCUUUUAUUUUUGUUGAUUAUACUGUCACUCGCAACAGUCAAAAACAACAAUUCAUCUUCAAAUAUCCGCAUUGAAUGCAACAAUAAGACAGAAAUCGUCACAAUGAGCAUUUAUUAUCCAUACACACUGACGGAUAGAUACAAUAUUAUCUGUAACAAUAAGCCCAUAGAAUUUGGUUAUAAUCCGUUAUCCCCAUCUUCUCCCCAAUUUUAUGUUUUUAUGAGUUUUAUGGGAAUUUUGUACUGCCUAUCUUCUCUAGCGGUACUGACAUUCUUUUUGGAUAGGUAUAACGAAAAGUCUCAGCUAAGGAACG